CGUAGGUGAACCUGCGGAAGGAUCAUUAUUGUAUAACCGAGGUGCGAGGGCUGUCGCUGACCCGAAAGGUCGUGCACGCCCGAGUGCCCUCACACACAUCCAUCUCACCCCAAUGUGCACCACCGCGUGGGUCCCCCUUUGGCUUGUUCGGAGGGGGGCUUACGUUUUCACACAAACUUUGUAUGCAGUGUAGAAUGUAUUUUUUGUUUUUGCGAUCACGCAAUCAAUACAACUUUCAACAACGGAUCUCUUGGCUCUC
rnacentral:misc_RNA from 1 species